AGUGAACGCUGGCGGUAGGCCUAACACAUGCAAGUCGAACGGCAGCACAGUAAGAGCUUGCUCUUACGGGUGGCGAGUGGCGGACGGGUGAGGAAUACAUCGGAAUCUACUUUUUCGUGGGGGAUAACGUAGGGAAACUUACGCUAAUACCGCAUACGACCUACGGGUGAAAGCAGGGGAUCUUCGGACCUUGCGCGAUUGAAUGAGCCGAUGUCGGAUUAGCUAGUUGGCGGGGUAAAGGCCCACCAAGGCGACGAUCCGUAGCUGGUCUGAGAGGAUGAGCAGACAAAGUGGAACUGAGACACGGACCAGACUCCUACGGGAGGCAGCAGUGGGGAAUAUUGGAAAAUGGGCGGAAGAUUAAUCAAGCCAGAACGCGGGGGUGAAGAAGGACUUCGAGUUGUAAAGCCGUUUUGGGGGGAAAGAAAAGCAGGAGGUUAAUAACCCGCUGUUCUGAAGGUACCAAAAGAAUAAGCACCGGCUAACUUCGU
rnacentral:rRNA from 1 species